rnacentral:rRNA from 1 species
CCUGGUUAUCAAAGCGACUUGGCACCACCCUUUCCCAUCCCGAACAAGGAAGUGAAACGAGUCAGCGCCGAUGAUACUUCCCGCUUCGGCGGGGGGAAAAGUAGGUCGUAGCCGGGG